rnacentral:lncRNA from 1 species
UGAAGUUGAAAAGAAGAAAGCGGGUUUUUGACAAGCCCAUUAUUCGGAAGUCCAGGUGGGUGACGGAUGUUACCAUCAUGCCCCAGUACAACAAACUGAUCCUAGGGACUGGAAACCGUGAAAUCCAGCUGUAUGAACUC